GACAGAGGGUGCAAACGUUGUUCGGAAUUACUGGGCGUAAAGCGCGUGUAGGCGGCCCUGCAAGUCGGAUGUGAAAUCCCACGGCUCAACCGUGGAAGUGCAUUCGAAACUGCAGGGCUAGAGUCCUGGAGAGGAAGGUGGAAUGCUUGGUGUAGAGGUGAAAUUCGUAGAUAUCAAGCGGAACACCGGUGGCGAAGGCGGCCUUCUGGACAGUGACUGACGCUGAGACGCGAAAGCGUGGGGAGCAAACAGGGAU
rnacentral:rRNA from 1 species